UAAAAGAUAAGCUAAUUAAAGCUAACUGGUUCAUACCCAGCUCAUAAGAUGUACUUCUUUCUUUUAA
rnacentral:tRNA from 1 species